UUCAGGGGCUGGAUGUGGUCGGAUGUGAACAGAGCUUGUGAGGAGGACUCGCCUACUCUCACGGGUAUAGCGAUCCAGGACAUGCAGGCCAAUGUGCAGAGAACUGGCCAAAAUGCUUGCAAAUCAUCGAUAUUCACUUUGUGCAGCUGUUCAAAACUUAAUUCACAGUUCAAAUCCAGAUCUUUACAACUCAUAAACAUUAAAAGCAGUUAUUUCAAAUACAGCUAAUUUCUUGGCAAUCACACAAUUGGCCUCGGCUGCACCUUUUUCGGUAGUCAAAAUUUCGAGAGUUGCCGGAUCAAGUUUGCAUGUAGUUACCUCAAACCUUUCGUACCAGGUAUCGUGAACUACUAGUUAGAAUCGAGCCAAAACCGCCAUUUUAUUUCAACCCGAAAUAAUAGCGGUCAAGUAUCUUCACUCUUCAGAGCGCAAUCGUCAACACAUUUCUGAUGCGCUUCUCACUCGCCGCCUUCUUCUUCGAGGACUUCAUUUCGUGCUGGGAGUCAGCUGCGUGAUGGAAUGCCUAGUAGCGAUACCGGAAGUAAAACUCGAAGCAUGUAAGCGCAUAUACACGUACUUCAAUCAUAUACUGGUGAAUGUGAAGCCUACAGGUAAAUUCCGAGCACGGGGUGCAUCCCAGGAGUGAAAUCUGGAGUGAUUACGACUAUCCUCUGAUUUGAUAUGUAGAAGAAAACGCAAGUAGAAGGUAGGUAUUCGCAUCGUAUACAUCACCACUCCUGCACCUGCAGGAAAGCCUCAAGUACCGGUGACGCAGAAAGAAAGCCGCUACAGAAAUCUAGUACCAAAUAAGUUUGACUGCUUACGUUAAUUGCUAUGACCACCGUUUUAGAAUCUGCACUAUAAAAUCGACGUAGGCUUCAUCAUCACAUGGGAAUACGCUGCAUCUGAAAAAAACAAGCAGGACUGCCCAUAGUUAUGGUUACGCAAGGGACAGUGCGAACUUGUCUUUAGCUGUUUAUCGCACUUACAAACAUCCAUGCGUGAAAAACAAACAACAUAUGAAAAAAAAACUAAAACAGCACCAAGCACACAGGACGGGUGGCAACAAUCCGCUAGUCUGGCUUCGAACCGACAAAAAAAGGAAGUCAAUCGAUAAUAACAUCCAUAGAUUUUCGAAAUACAAGACGAUACUAUUGUAUAUUCGUGUAGAUUGAUACAUAGACAGCUUGUGACCCUAGCCGUCGCUGCAAGCGAACAAUACGAUUCGGAGCGUUCUAUAUAAUCUCUUUAUGUAAUCCCCGCUUACAAUCGUCGUGCAAAGGCCAGUGACUGCGUAUCUUACUAUUGCUUCGGAAAAACGCUGCGUCGAGCCUGUCAACGGAGUAGGUGCACUCGCACACAGGGAGGCGCUGAAAGGUACAUCCUGUAAUUUCUAUACCUCUGCAAUAGACACCAAUUACAGGAAGACCGAUACUUGAAGUACAACAGAAGAUACGACUGGACUAUGUACAACCAUUUCUAGCAAUUGUAUUUCCGAUCAUAGAUUCUGAAGCGCGGCUAUAAGACUUACAAGAGUAAAAAUCGAGCAAAUUGUGAUAGUACUUAGGCGCUUGAUUGUGACAUCACACGCUCAACAAAACUAUAAAAUAUAUAUAUAUAUAUAUAGCGAAAUUAAGAGAAACUGAAUAAUGGUGGACCGGAUGAGUUGAUUUGGUUCAGUUAUUACAAGUACAAUUUAGCCCGCCAUUUGUCGUGUUUACCCCUAACUCAGUCUAAACUAAAAAUAUCGCAGUAACACAGUGAUAUUGUGAUUCUACUGCUGUGAUUGUCAGCGCAGCUUUUUCUCGUUUCUUUUUGCUCGCUCUGAAAACCCUGCGUCUCUUGGGCAAAGUAAUAUAAUUUCUUUUAAUAAUCGAAUAAUCUUUCUCAUUGAGUUUAUGACAAAAGGACUUCCCCUGAUUAUCAAAUUUGAACAAAGCUUUCCCUUCAUCUGACCUUUUCAAUUCAUUCGGUUCGGUUCCGACCAACCCGCACACGGCUUUUAUAGUUCCGUCAGUUGAAUGGGUAGUACCACUUUCUGAUAAAGACGUCCUACAUCUCAUCCUUUCCGACUUAAUAACGUCUUAUCACUCGUCUAAAAGAAAAGAAAGGAACCUUUUCAUUUAGUCUAUUCUGUCACGUAGACGACCGACCGAGCUUUCCAUUGGGUGAUUAUCGCGACAUUUAAGUUCUCGAAAUCUUUUUGCUAUCAAGUUAUGGUGAAAUUUGAAGAUUUGUUUGGAAUGAUAUUGUUCAUAGAAAUAUCUGAUUAGCGGCCAUGGUAUAUGAAGCGAUCGGUUUGUAAACUAAUGUCAACAAUGGAAGUUUAAUAACGAAAGUAACGUUUUCUUUAUUUUUUGCGUUAACGU